AAUCCCCCCCAAAUCCCAAAUCGAUCUGCCGCGCCUCCUCUCGAUCCAUCACCGUCGCCGUCGCCCUCUGUCGCCCUCGAUCCAUCGCCCUCCAUUGCCCUCGAUCCAUCGCCGUCUCCCUUGAUCCAUCGCCAUCGCCGUCGCCUCCCGCCUCAGCAGCUCCUCCUGUCGCAACAAGAAGCCUGCAGAAGCUCAAUCCCGCCUCUCUAGCAUGCCGACCAGGUGCAGAUCGAUCGCCAACUACCGCAGGAACCGCCUCUCCAGCACGCCGACCAGGUGUAGAUCAAGCUCAAGCCCGUCUUCAGCGCUCACUCCUCCAGAAGCUCAAGGAAUAAGCUGCCCGCCUCUCCGACCUCGUCUUCGCCGCUCACUCCUCCAGAAGCUCAAGGUAAUUAGAAUGAGGAUGAAUGUGAAAUGGCAUAGCUGUGAAAUGGCUAGACCUGAGCAUAUGUUGGACCUGAUGUGGUGGUGCUAGACCUGAGCAUAUGCUGGAGGCUCAGGUCAUUGCUAUAUUGAUAUGUCUGGAAGAAAAAGUUGUGUGAAAUGUGUCUGCAGGUACAUUGAGUGCCAAUGUUUCGCUAGAAUAUCGAUUAACUUCCGUUCCGGCGAAUUUCUGGCACUCCGGCAUAACCAUUUUUUAGCAAAGGUCAUGCCGAAUUUUCGCUGUAGACAGAGAGAUUGCAAUUAAAUGAAAAGCAUAAGCUUAAUAGAGCUAGGGGUAGUAACUAGUAGUGGAUUUCCACCCUGUUAAUAAAGCAUGCUAUGCUAUGCUGAUAUAGCUUGUAAACUACGAAAGUCCAGGAAAAAUAAAGCAUGCUAUGCUGAUAUGCAUAUGUAGUUCCUUUCUCA